UACGGGGGGGGUAAGCGUUGUUCGGAAUUACUGGGCGUAAAGGGCUCGUAGGCGGCCCACUAAGUCCGACGUGAAAUCCCCAGGCUUAACUUGGGAACUGCGUCGGAUACUGGUGGGCUUGAAUCCGGGAGAGGGAUGCGGAAUUCCAGGUGUAGCGGUGAAAUGCGUAGAUAUCUGGAGGAACACCGGUGGCGAAGGCGGGUCUCUGGGCCGAUACUGACGCUGAGGAGUGAAAGCGUGGGGAGCGAACAGG
rnacentral:rRNA from 1 species